UACGGAGGGUGCGAGAGUUAAUCGGAAUUACUGGGCGUAAAGCGUGCGCAGGCGGAUUGUUAAGCAAGAUGUGAAAUCCCCGGGCUUAACCUGGGAAUGGCAUUUUGAACUGGCAGUCUAGAGUGUGUCAGAGGGGGGUGGAAUUCCACGUGUAGCAGUGAAAGGCGUAGAUAUGUGGAGGAACACCAAUGGCGAAGGCAGCCCCCUGGGAUAACACUGACGCGCAUUUACGAAAGCGUGGGUAGCAAACAGUAGGAGAUACCCGUGUAGUCC
rnacentral:rRNA from 1 species